UCAGAAGAAACACUGGAUGAGGGGA
rnacentral:piRNA from 1 species